CCCCUAGAUGUUCUGGGCCGCACGCGCGCUACACUGAACAGUUCAACAAGUCUUAACCUUGGCCGAUAGGUCUGGGUAAUCUUUGAACGCUGUUCGUGAUUGGGAUAGACCUUUGCAAUUAUGGGUCUUCAACGAGGAAUUCCUAGUAAACGCAAGUCAUCAGCUUGCAUUGAUUACGUCCCUGCCCUUUGUACACACCGCCCGUCGCACCUACCGAUUGAAUGGUCCGGUGAAAUCUCGGGACGGCGGCUUGGUCGCUUGCGUCCGACUGCUGAAACUUGAUUAAACCAUAUCAUUUAGAGGUAGGUGAAGUCGUAACA
rnacentral:rRNA from 1 species